CAUUGCUGCUGCAACAACACAUCACCAGUAGGGUGAAACUAACCUGUCCCAACACGGUCUGAUCCCAGCUCAUGUUCCCUGUUACUGGGUCAACAAUCCAAC